UGAUUCCCGCUCGGUAAAGUUUAGCCAACCGCCGGUAGCCAGCUAGGUAACUAGAUGGUUUAAGCGUAGGCCGGUUAGGUAACGGGCCGAAAGCUCAUGAUGAAGAUAUUGAGCCUCGAAAUCCUAAAUGGGUUGGCCGAUGCUGUGAACCGAAGCAGAAGGCAAUAUUAUGGUAAUCGAUUUGGCAAGAUUACUAUGGCACCCCGAGGUCAUAGGUCU
rfam:Desulfosporosinus sp. OT TOT.assembly.198, whole genome shotgun sequence.